rnacentral:rRNA from 1 species
GACGGGGGAUGCAAGCGUUAUCCGGCAUCACGGGGCGUAAAGCGUCUGUAGGUGGUGAUGCAAGUCACUGGUGCAAAACUCUGGCUCAACCGGAGGAAAGCCAGUGAAACUGCAUGACUAGAGUGUGGGAGAGGUAGAAGGAAUUCCCUGAGUAGCGGUGAAAUGCGUAGAUACAGGGAAGAACACCGGAGGCGAAAGCGUUCUACUGGAACACAACUGACACUGAGAGACGAAAGCUAGGGGAGCGAAGGGG